CUGGCUCAGGACGAACGCUGGCGGCGUGCCUAAUACAUGCAAGUCGAGCGAACAGAGAAGGAGCUUGCUCCUUCGACGUUAGCGGCGGACGGGUGAGUAACACGUGGGCAACCUACCUUAUAGUUUGGGAUAACUCCGGGAAACCGGGGCUAAUACCGAAUAAU
rnacentral:rRNA from 1 species